rnacentral:lncRNA from 1 species
GUAGUAAUGUUGUUCUGCACCCAGUAAUAAACUUUACUAGGGGUAGUAAUGUUUCCAAGUCGUCAGAUUUACUUGUUCUGCAGCCUAACACAUACUUUACAAGGGGUAGUAAUGUUUCCAGAGCAUAAAAAAACACAACUAAGGGGGUAGUAAUGUUUCCAAGUCGUCAGAUUUACUUGUUCUGCAGCCUAACACAUACUUUACUAGGGGUAGUAAAAUUUCUAGAACCUCAGUUUUUGUUGUUUUGCACCGCCAAGGCCAUCGAGGGCGCUUUCACCCCCGGCCAGGUCUGCCUCAUCAUCGAGGACCUCGUCACCAUCGGCGCCUCCGUUCUUGAAACCGUCGCUCCGUGCCGCCAGGUUGAAGGUCUGCGACGCCGUCAUCUCCGAUCGGUUAGACCAGUCGCGCCACCUCCUAGAGGAUGCGAUUGUCCUCAACCCGUCCGAUCCGUCCAUAUCCGAGCUAGAGCUCGGCGUCAUGGACGACGUCGAUCAGAGGACGAUGGCGAAGACAAUGACCAUGGAGGACGAUUGCGGGGAUGGUGAUGACGAUGGCGAGCUUGGUGUCAAGGCGGAGGCGGUGGGUUAGGUGCGGCCCGGUGGCAGACAGAUCCGAGAUCAAUGGCGAAGAGAGAGAGAGAGAGAGAGAGAAGAAGAAGAAGAAGAAGAAGAAGAAGAAGAAGAAGAAAACCAGAUCGGGAAGAAAUAGAGGUUAGAUGACGGGAAAGAGAAAGA